rnacentral:lncRNA from 1 species
UAUUUGUACAACACCCUGGAGUCUCAGACAACACAUGAUCUCUACCUGCCACUUGCCUAAUUCUGUUGACAGAAACUGCUUUCAAUAUGACUGUUGAAAUUUAAAGCUGCUAUAUGAAGGGAUCCACAAGACGAAUAAUUAAGGGGGACCUCUGAUCAACAGCCAGCAAGGAACUGAAUCCCUCAGACCCACAACUCACAAGAAACUGAAGCUGAAGCAGAUUCUUCCUCAGUCAAGCUUCAGGUGCCCAGCUGUAUUGGUAGAGGAGACCAACCACACCCUCCACAGCACAGCACCUGGAGAGGAACUGCUGCCAUGACCAUAGAGGACACCCUCUGGAUACAAUGCCAGACUUGAUGUGGGACUGACCAACCUAUGGACCCCAGGCACCACCACCCAGACCUGCUCAGCACCUGAAACAUUCACAGCCGUGGAGAGAGAACUGUUCACUGCUACCAUCCACACUUCUGGGCCCCUUCAGCAGCAGGGUGACAAGGAAGAGGGAAAUCGACUUGGAAAAGAGGGGACCUCUGACCCAAGAGUUCGGUCAAUGCAUAUGUUGGCAGCCAGCUGCACAUCGCACCAAAUAUGAACUUCAAAUAGAAGAAAGCCUCAUUUGGAAGAAAGCUCAUGCACAGACUGUAAAUAUUUCAGAGCAGAUUGUGUCUCUGUAGAUUAAUAACCAAAAAAUAGAAGAUUCAGAAGAACUAGCAAAUGUGGAGAGAACGGAUGAAAUGGAAGCAGUGUGAACCUAGUGAAUACUUGCCAAGCUGUAUCUCCCCUGAAUUUGUCAAAACAUCAUCUCCAGCAUCUGAGCUAGACCAACCCUCAGUGCUAACAUUGAUGUGAUUAAAGAGUCUGAACUGGGAGCAGAAUUCCUUCAGGUAUUUUGUUAAUAAAAUAAAGCUCUCCAUCUCUCCUUAAAUUAAACAAGCCUGCUCUCCUGGAUCAUGUUUUGAACAUAGUUCAUUUUACGAAAGGCUUCCCUUUGGGGCCCUUUAUUUUAAUUCUGGUUGUGCAAAUCAGCCCAUGUUCUGUUCAUGAGGGACACCUGUUUAUUCCCCGUGAAAACAAAUUCGUUGGAUGCACCCUGGGAGGCUACAAGG